rnacentral:snRNA from 1 species
GGACGUGAAAGCAAUCUUGCUGUGAUGGCUGUCACCCCACUGAUUCCCAGGAUUGAUCUGGCUGAUCUGGCUGGCUGGGCAGGGUCCCUUCCUCCCUCACCACUCCACCUGUGUCCCUCUUGAAGCUACACUCUGAGUAGAAGAGGACAACCCACCCCAGUGACAGAAGGACAGUUUCCUUCUCAAGAGUACACAAGUAUCUCUGCUCCCACACUAGAACCAGCAAACAACUCUCAGGAAAUUGUCACGAUAACUGUGGGCAGGAAAGAGAAGAAGAUGCACCCUUCCUACAAGACAGCAGUA